AGGAAAUGCACGCGUGGAAACAGGAGUGGGCAGGGAGGAUGUGACACUGUCCUCCUCACCAGGCCACGUUCCUGGCACCAACCAUAGUGUUUGGGCAGAUAAGAAAAGAAACAAUUUGCUGAAACUCCCUCUGCUUAUAACAAAACUGACUGAAAUCAGCCGGAAUCAAUAUGGCCAAAUGCAGUUUGCGCACAGCAAGCUUGCUGAUGUCACAGCCUGAAUUUCUACUGCAUGUUUCAUACCAACUCCCUCCAAAUUUGCACAUGGGACCCACCAGGAAGCAUGAAGAGAGAGCCAUGCAUGCCUGAAGACUUCCCAGAUGUUCCCUUUGCUUCCACCAAUCACCUGCUAACCCCAGGAUCCAACCCUAAACCUUUUGUAAUAAAAUUACUGCCCUAAA
rnacentral:lncRNA from 10 species